rnacentral:rRNA from 1 species
UACGUAGGGGGCUAGCGUUGUCCGGAAUCAUUGGGCGUAAAGAGCGCGUAGGCGGCCCGAUAAGUCUGCUGUGAAAGUCCAGGGCUCAACCCUGGAAUGCCAGUGGAUACUGUCGGGCUAGAGUACGGAAGAGGCGAGUGGAAUUCCUGGUGUAGCGGUGGAAUGCGCAGAUAUCUGGAGGAAUACCGGUGGCGAAGGCGGCAUCCUGGACCAUUACUGACGCUGAGGCGCGAAAGCUAGGGGAGCAAACGGG